AAUUUUUCGAUGAAAAGGAAAGUAAACUUGGAGACUGCGUAGAGAGACUCUGGCUGGUGAAAAGAGUUCAGUAUAAGAAAAGUUGAAAAUGGCCUUGGAGAAAAAUUUGUCGAUAAGUAGGCAAAUUCGGAUUCGUUCGACCGUUAAAACGAACACCAAUCUCUCAUUACAGAUGAGACGUUGGGCUGAGGGAAGGAAACUUCCGAAUAAAGGUGGUAACACGAUACGUCGUCCUUUUA
rnacentral:ncRNA from 1 species